rnacentral:rRNA from 1 species
UGAACGCUGGCGGAAUGACUAACACACGCAAGUCGAACGAGAUCUUCGGAUCUAGUGGCGCACGGGUGAGUAACGCGUGGGAAUCUACCCUUGGGUUCGGAAUAACUCAGAGAAAUUUGAGCUAAUACCGGAUGAUGACGUAAGUCCAAAGAUUUAUCGCCCAAGGAUGAGCCCGCGUAAGAUUAGCUUGUUGGUGAGGUAAAGGCUCACCAAGGCGACGAUCUUUAGCUGGUCUGAGAGGAUGAUCAGCCACACUGGGACUGAGACACGGCCCAGACUCCUACGGGAGGCAGCAGUGGGGAAUAUUGGACAAUGGGCGAAAGCCUGAUCCAGCAAUGCCGCGUGAGUGAUGAAGGCCUUAGGGUUGUAAAGCUCUUUUACCAGGGAUGAUAAUGACAGUACCUGGAGAAUAAGCUCCGGCUAACUCCGU